AUUGAGAACCUGACCCUACAGGACAGUGGGCGAUACAAGGCAUACAGCAGGUUAAGUGAUGGACCAGAAGUUUUCCAAAUUUUCCACCUCAAGGUCUAUGAGCCUGUGUCCCCUCCACAGAUCCUGGUUCAGACAUUGUCCAUCACACCAGACUGGUGCAACUUCAUCUUAGAAUGAAGUGCCACAGGGGCCACAGAGAACCUGAAUGUGACCUGGAAGAGGAAGGGUCUCCCCAGGGAGCUGGAGCAGAGAGGGACACUAAGAUUGUCCCCCAACACCUGGGUCCAGAUUGUAAGCCUGCCCCUGAGCCAAGCCAAUGCCAGCCUCACCUGUGUGGUCAGCAAUCCUGUGGACCAGAACAAUGCCACCACAGACCUUGGUGUCAUAUGCUUAAAACGGGAAACAGGUGGACAGUCUGCAGCUGGCCUCAUAGGAGGGUUACUGGGGGGCUUCGUGGCUGUGCUUUUGCUUCUCGGAGUUGGACUAUAUUUUUGGAAGAUUCGUGAGAAGAAGAAAAUGACGGUGGAACAAAGCAGGGCAAGACUGCAGCAGGAUGAAAAUAUCUUCAAGGAUGACAUCAUGUAUGCAGAUGUUAUACAUCAGAAAUAUCAGAAGGAUAAGGACAAGGUGAGAGCUGGGAGUGGUGGCCAGCCUGGCCACUCACAGGUCACCCAUUGCCCACCCUGGGCUUCCUAAUCUCAGAUACCUGCUAUUUCUGUCUCUACUGUUCUUACCUCUAUUUGUAAUAU
rnacentral:lncRNA from 1 species